UGUUAAAAUUUUCAUCUAUUUCUACUAUUAAAAACUGACAUAAUGACCAAAUAGUUACACGUGGUGUGUCAUGGGUACUUCAUGUUGACGUAUGUGGACCAGUUUUUAACUUUAUAAAUAGAUGAAAUAUUUAAGA
rnacentral:pre_miRNA from 1 species